CAAUAACCAGACCUUUCCAGUUCUACUUCCAGGAAUGACGGAAAUAAGAUGGCACCUCAGCAAAACCACAGAAUGGUGUUAGGAAGACCUUAUAGGCCUGGGUAUUUAUAACUUCCCUGGAACAAAAGGUGGUGCACUGGGACAUCAAUCAAGAGUUUUGCAUACAGGAUUAAAAAAUUUGCUCAAAUUCCUCUCAUGAGACCCUGUUAAAACAUUCUAGAGUCAUUUUCCACAUGGCACGCACCACUUAAUCCUUAACUUCUAUUUCUCCUUAACCUUAGCCUCCCUUCUCACUUUGAAUUCGUUUGGGAACAUUACCCCAGUUCCUUGCUUGGGCACUCAUAAUAAAUCACCUUCAUACCUAGGCUUGUUUCUCUUCUGUAGUGCCAGAUCAUGCCUGCCCAUCUGUUGGACCAUGCUUAUGGUAACAGAUUUUGGUGAGCCAGCAGGACUCCUGCUGCUCUAGGGAUACGCCCUGUUCCUCAAGCAGCUCUGAUCUGGAUCUCAUCAGCCAUGGGGCUUCCCCAGAAUGCUCAGCUCUGUGCCUAGCAGCUGCCCAGUGAUUUUUCUGGAGGGCCGAGGCUGGAGGUUCUGGGCCAAAUUUCUACCAUGGAUGAACACUGGGUGCUUUGGGUUAAGAUGACUCUUUUUCUCCUUUGUUUCAGGAGGUACCAGCGCUUGAACCUAGGACCUUGUCCCUGGAAAGCAGGCACUCAACCACUUGAGCGCUAUCCAUUCCAUGAAGGUGAUUCUGAAGCUGAGUGUUCGCCUAUGCUAGGAGACACGGUUCCAGAACUGGAUCCCUACAAGGACUCAAAAGAGCCUGGGGAGGACACCCAGUUGAAACAUUAUAAGGUUUGACCAUCUACUGUUGUCUGGUUGUGAGUGAAACUCCAGAGGAAAAACCUCAUCUGAGCUAUUGACUAUGGAAGCACAGGUGAGUAAGGAAUUCCUCUUUAACUGAAAUUGCACCUUUGUUGGCAUUAAACAGUCAU
rnacentral:lncRNA from 1 species